AUUGACCUCGGAUCAGGUAGGGAUACCCGCUGAACUUAAGCAUAUCAAUAAGCGGAGGAAAAGAAACCAACAGGGAUUGCCUCAGUAACGGCGAGUGAAGCGGCAACAGCUCAAAUUUGAAAUCUGGCCCCGUCGGGGUCCGAGUUGUAAUUUGUAGAGAGUGUUUCGGGUGAGACCACGGUCUAAGUCUAUUGGAACAUGGCGUCAUAGAGGGUGAGAAUCCCGUAUGUGACCGUGGCUCGAGCCCAUGUGAAGCCUCUUCGACGAGUCGAGUUGUUUGGGAAUGCAGCUCAAAAUGGGUGGUAAAUUUCAUCUAAAGCUAAAUACUGGCUGGAGACCGAUAGCGCACAAGUAGAGUGAUCGAAAGAUGAAAAGCACUUUGGAAAGAGAGUCAAAAAGUACGUGAAAUUGUUGAAAGGGAAGCGCUUGCAACCAGACCUGUCCGUAGGUGAUCAACCGCUGUUCUCAGUGGUGCACUCGCUCUGCGAUCAGGCCAGCAUCGGUUCCGGCGGUCGGAUAAAGGCCUUGGGAAUGUAGCUGCCUUCGGGGAGUCUUAUAGCCCUCGGUGCAAUGCGGCCAGCCGGGACCGAGGACCGCGCUUCGGCUAGGAUGCUGGCGUAAUGGCUGUAAGCGACCCGUCUUGAAACACGG
rnacentral:rRNA from 1 species